GCCCCUGUAGCUCAAUGGUUCGAGCCCCACGUUUCUACGUGGGAGGGUUCAAAUCCCUCCAGGGGCA
rnacentral:tRNA from 1 species